GGGGGCGUAGCUCAGCGGCAGAGCAUCGGACUCUUAAUCCGUGUGUCGUGGGUUCGAAUCCCACCGCCCUCACCA
rnacentral:tRNA from 1 species